rnacentral:lncRNA from 1 species
UAGUAUUUAACUUUUAAAGCAGUUAUUACUAUUUCAAACCAAAACAUAAAUAUGUUGCCUACCUAAUUCUUUAGGGGGAAAUGCUUCCGUACAGAGUACAGCAAAAUCAAUGGCUUUGCAUAGUGUUUUGGCAAGCACAUGUGUUUUUAGCACAUGACUAAGCCCCAUGAGCUCUCAGAACGCCACCAGACUCCAUGUUGCCGUCACAAAGGUGGCUUCUGGGAGUUCGGUUGGGAAGAAGCUCUGACUACUGUGCACACCUUUAUAUUGGUGAGCUAUGGAAAACACAUGUGUGAAGCAAUUGUUCGUACAGAUACUUAG